CAACACUCUGGAGAGAUCGGCCCGCCUUCCCGGCAGCGGCCGGCGCCGAAGGGGCACGAAGCAGCCGCACGCUUCCAAACUCUCAGGCAGAAGGACAGAGGGGC
rnacentral:ncRNA from 1 species